UGAACCUGCGGAAGGAUCAUUGUCAA
rnacentral:rRNA from 1 species